rnacentral:rRNA from 1 species
UGGACGAAAGUCUGAUGGAGCAACGCCGCGUGAGUGAAGAAGGGUUUCGGCUCGUAAAACUCUGUUGUUAAAGAAGAACAUAUCUGAGAGUAACUGUUCAGGUAUUGACGGUAUUUAACCAGAAAGCCACGGCUAACUACGUGCCAGCAGCCGCGGUAAUACGGUAGGUGGCAAGCGUUGUCCGGAUUUAGUUGGGCGUAAAGCGAGCGCAGGCGGUUUUUUAAGUCUGAUGUGAAAGCCUUCGGCUCAACCGAAGAAGUGCAUCGGAAACUGGGAAACUUGAGUGCAGAAGAGGACAGUGGAACUCCAUGUGUAGCGGUGAAAUGCGUAGAUAUAUGGAAGAACACCAGUGGCGAAGGCGGCUGUCUGGUCUGUAACUGACGCUGAGGCUCGAAAGUAUGGGUAGCAAACAGGAUUAGAUACCCUGGUAG